GGCUUAAAUUUGGAGUACAGUAUAUUAGUAGGGUCAGCUGAUACUGCUAAUCUACUCUACUCCAAAUUGGGGCCC
rnacentral:pre_miRNA from 1 species